rnacentral:rRNA from 1 species
CACGUAGGGCGCAAGCGUUGUCCGGAAUUAUUGGGCGUAAAGAGCUCGUAGGCGGACUGUCACGUCUGCUGUGAAAAGCUGGGGCUUAACCCUGGCCUUGCAGUGGAUACGGGCAGACUAGAGGUAGGUAGGGGAGAAUGGAAUUCCCGGUGUAGCGGUGAAAUGCGCAGAUAUCGGGAGGAACACCGGUGGCGAAGGCGGUUCUCUGGGCCGAUAUUGACGCUGAGGAGCGAAAGCGUGGGGAGCGAACAGG